AAUGAACGUUGGCAGCAUGGAUUAGGCAUGCAAGUCGCGCGACAAGUUUCCCUUCGGGGAGAUGGAGGAGCGGCAAACGGGGUAGUAAGGCAUCGGAACGUACCCUCUUGUCGGGAAUAGUCAUGGGAAACCGUGGGUAAUGCCCGAUGAUCUCUUCGGAGCAAAGGUCCGCCGCAGGAGGAGCGGCCGAUGUGAUACCAGCUAGUUGGUGAGGUAAUGGCUCACCAAGGCUUAGACGUCUAGGGGGUGUGAGAGCAUGGCCCCCACCACUGGGACUGAGACACUGCCCAGACACCUACGGGUGGCUGCAGUCGAGAAUCUUCGGCAAUGGACGCAAGUCUGACCGAGCAAUGCUGCGUGCGGGAUGAAGGCCCUUGGGUUGUAAACCGCUGUCAGGGGGGAUCAAGGCGUAAGCUUGAGAGAGCCCCAGAGGAAGCACGGGCUAAGUUCG
rnacentral:rRNA from 1 species